AACGAACGCUGGCGGCAGGCUUAACACAUGCAAGUCGAGCGCCCCGCAAGGGGAGCGGCAGACGGGUGAGUAACGCGUGGGAAUCUACCGUACCCUACGGAAUAACGCAUGGAAACGUGUGCUAAUACCGUAUACGCCCUCCGGGGGAAAGAUUUAUCGGGGUAUGAUGAGCCCGCGUUGGAUUAGCUAGUUGGUGGGGUAAAGGCCUACCAAGGCGACGAUCCAUAGCUGGUCUGAGAGGAUGAUCAGCCACAUUGGGACUGAGACACGGCCCAAACUCCUACGGGAGGCAGCAGUGGGGAAUAUUGGACAAUGGGCGCAAGCCUGAUCCAGCCAUGCCGCGUGAGUGAUGAAGGCCUUAGGGUUGUAAAGCUCUUUCACCGGUGAAGAUAAUGACGGUAACCGGAGAAGAAGCCCCGGCUAACUUCGUG
rnacentral:rRNA from 1 species